rnacentral:lncRNA from 1 species
GGGAGCGCCUGGUUUAUUGUGGAUUAUUUUAUUAUUUCGCGUGCGUCUGCGGCGUAAAUAAUUGGAAUCUUUCGUUACCUGUUGCAUUGUUUGAGUUUGGUCUGAGAAGCCUCUAUUAUUUCAAAGGCUCCAUUGUUUCUGUUUGAUUGUCCUUCGGUGGCAGGACACAAACCUGUUCUCUUGUUCAUUGUUCAAUUCUCUUUGAGAGACGAUAAAUAUUUUUCAUAUCGCGGCACUCCGAUAUAUUUAAGAAACACGUUUUGUGAGUGCGUGCAAUUUGUAUGGAUUUCUGAAGUGUCAGCAGGUGGGACUGUUUUUUUUUAACAUUUUUAAAAUUCAUUCAGGCCACGCACAUUUAAUUGUCAAUAUACUCAAUAAUGUCAAGGGGUAUCGAUUUCACUUGAAUGCUUCGCCUCUCCACUUUGCCUGAUUGCAGUCAUCGUUUUCGUUUGCCUUUGACUCA